rnacentral:pre_miRNA from 1 species
GGCCGCCAUUUGGAAAUCGUGUUAUUGAGAAAUGAAACACCUUGUGUAGCGGCGUUAUUUCGAGAGAAAACCCUUCUCUUGAAAUAACUUAUUCUUCAUACAAUGAGGUUUAACUGUUAUUUUGAGAGAAGGGUUUUCUCUCGAAAUAACGCUGCUACAUGGGGUGUUUUAUUUCGCAAUAACGUGAUUUCAAAAUGGUAGCC